ensembl:lncRNA
GAUGCCAUAUUGCGUUUUGCCGUUCCGAGCUGUGAAGCGUCGUAGAACAGGAGCCCGCAUCCCACUCCCGUUUUCUGAAUUAGUUUUAUUUUUCCGGAUCCUCGGCAUAUGCUCGAGUUGCUUUGUAGAGAGUACCUUCCACUUCAUUCAGACCAAAGAGGCUCUGACUCAUUCCGUCACCGCACUACGAGGCAGGCAGGGCUGCACCACGCAUGUUUGGGUACUCGCUCCCGCUGCGCUCCUCGCACACGCUCCGGCAGAAUCCUCGCGCGUCUCUCCCGGCUGCGCGCAGACCACUGCCCGCCUCUCCCAGAAUAAAUGAAUGGGAGGAACGCAGCCACAGGGCAGCGUCUGCUCUGCUUGCUGGCAGCCCGACUGCCGCACAGGGAACCGCUCGCUCUGCUUUGGCAUCGGGAAGGGAGGCACGGCGCUGAGAAAGCUUCUCCCCACCCCGAAGUCACCGCACGAAAUGCUGCAUAAGCCCCCGAGGCUGGGUCUCAGCCCCAAAAGGGCUCCGAGAGCACCGUGCGCGCUCCCUGUGCUGUGGCUGCCCAGGGCAGGCUGUUGGCUGAGCCUCUUCCAAUCCGCCCCCAGCACAGCUGUGAGCUCCAAGCAGAUGUCUCCGUGCAGAUGUGUCAUGUGUGCGUCCACAGGUAGUACCGCUGUGUUUUAGCAUUGGAUCUAGCAUUAGUCUGCAUGCGAAAGACCAUAGGGCUCUGUCAGUAUGCAGAUCAGCAAGGCAGUCCCUUCUAUGAAUGACUGUACUCAUCCUCUGUAUUUCCUAGAGAAUGUGCUAACAACAAGGUAAUCUGCACAGCUCUUGACUGAGAGUUGGUACUGUCACACAGACUGGCUUUAGGAGCAUAAAGGUAUUUUAACAGUGCAACUUCCACCUCUCCGGAUCAGGUUCGCUACGUAACCCAAAGUGCUUGCCUGUUUCAGAGCGCUCUGGGGACAGCAGCAGGCCCGGAUGUCUGGACGAACGUGCCACUCAGCAACGAGAUGGUGCAUCUACAGCCAUGUGGCAGACAGCAAAAAUAUCCUCACCCAGCUAAUGCAAGGUUCAUUGAUUUAAUGAAAGGAACCAUGGGAGAGAGGCAGAGGCUGGAGACAGCUGGAAAUCAAGUGGAGGCCCCGCAGAAGUUGCCACCCCAUCCUCUGCAUUCUGUUCUGCAGACGCGGCAUUCUCCCGCCUGCCACCUUUUUUUAUUCCAGUUGUACUCCUGUUACCUCAGGAGAAAGGAAUCUUUCCUUCUCAAACCUCCACCUUGCCAAGAGGUGUGGCACACGCCGUGGAAGAGAAGCCACAUUCAUGCUGAAGCAAGCUUUGGGCAACUUUCCCUUCUGCGGCAGGCUCGUGCAGCCUCUGCCCACGUCCCGGGGAAGUGCCGUAACUGCAGCCAGCCGCAUCAGGUUCACAAACUCACCUCCGUUUUGACGUGGUUACAUAACAGAGAUAAGGGGACAGUGCCUUUGCUGACAUUGCCUGGCACGCAGGAUGCUCUUCUACGUCACAAGAUGCCAUUAUGCCUCUGCAGUUCCUCUUUUGAGGGCCUAUGGCAGGGCUCAAAGCGUUCCCCCAGAAGCGAGCAGCACGCGGCAUGGCGGGGGCACCGAGGGUGGGAAGCAGCACCUGAGCGAGAUCUCAUGUGCUGCCACGGCCUGGACAAAGGUCCCUCAUUGUCUGUCAAGGCAGCGCAGUCUAUUGACCCAGACGUGCAGAACUAUGCCAGAGGUGAAAGUCGUUUGCUACAGAAAACAGACACAAUUGCAGACCAGGACAGUUCUGACAAUAAGAAUGGAGAGAGGCACUGUGGCAGUGCAGAACGUACAGAUCGGGGCUCCAGCACGACGGUGUGAGUUGGACACAGGAACCCACUCGAGCAGUGCCUCCUGCCAGUAACGUGCUGAAACUGGUCAGACUCCCAGCUGAAUGCGUUCUUGACCAAAAGACAGUCAUCAGUUUGACAUGCAGGAGGCACGUCAUCUAGGAGAGACUGUCUUUCAGUGCACUGAUGUCGUGCCAUCAACAUGCACGCUUUAUGUAAUUAGUAUCUGUAAGAAAUGGGAAAGUAAGAGGUAACACAAGUUGGAUUUUUUUUUUUUAACAUCCACGUUCAGGGAAAUCCAGUGAUUGACGAUGCACUGCAUGUGAACAGUAAUCUUACAAUUAUCGAUCAUUACAGUCUAAGACUUCAAUUUGUCAUAAAAUGACAUUGUUGGUCUCAUUACAGCCUCUAGUGGACAGUAGUAAUCCACUUCACAGACCUGUCAUACAAGCUGCUCAGAUGACAAGUGUUAUCAAGGUGGGGGUUACGCUGAAAGAACACGAGGACACGGUCGUGCUUGUCCCGUGGCAGGAAGGAUUUUCCUAUAUAGUCGAGAGUUUGCUGGCAUUGAUCUGAAGGUGCCUUGCUUUAUGCUUCAGGUAUCAGUGCUGGCUCGUAAAUAAACAGAGAACUUUGCUCUCAAUUUCCAUCUCAGACAGCUUUCAU